AUGUCCAUCUUUGGACGAUACUAACAAGAAAAGAGAAAAAAAAAUUGGAGAUAGGGUUCGGCCAUGAAUUUGGGUGAUUAAGAUCAAGAAAAGAGGAAAUCAGAAUUGGAUCGGGGGAAAUCUAAAGUUGCCAAAUAGUUGUCCAGUUCGUUCGCAUUCGUCCGAGACUUUUAGAAAGCUAGUUACGAGUUCGGGGAUCGCCAAGGAAGUUCAUUACACUAUCGACCGUUAUUUUGGUAUUUUAAAAGCUUGAAUUAUAAAUCUUUGGCAUGUAUAGGCUAGUGUGUAUUUGGCUAAAUUUUGAAGUGAAUAUAUAUAUGUAGCCAUGCAAAUAUGGCUUGUUGUUGAUUUUAAUUAAGAUAUGAAUCGGCCUUGUAUUUAGAUUAUUUUGAAAGUAAGUUUCAAGAUAUAUCUUAUGUGAUUAAUAGUCUUGUAAUUCAAUCUAGGAAAUGAAGUAGAUGUUGAAUGCAUUUUGAAUUA